CCAUCAUUCAAAGGAAUUGAGACAAGAUCUUCCAUUGGCCCACCCCGUUCUUCAGUCAGAUCAUCAUGAGUGUCCAAUCCAUCGACUGGAUAGGGGUCAGGCUGACCACUUCUUUGCAGGGCUAUAUUAUAGCAAUGCCUUGCCAGGGCUUGAUCUCCUCUAACUUCUCCAACCCCCUGGUUGGUAGGAAAUUUUAAUUUCAGAUGGUAGGUCGAUACUACAGCUCAGAGGGAGUUG
rnacentral:lncRNA from 1 species